AAGGACCGCCUCACCGUGCCAACCCACUGAGUCAUGUGUGUCUGGGCCACCGAAAGCUUGUCACCCAGGGAGAACUCCCGUGCACACCUGGGAGCCACCGCCCACCGCCGAUCCGCUCUCCCUCCGGGCUCUUCUCACCUGAACCAGGCAGCUCUCCAGUCUUCAGGCUGGAGACUCCAAACCUGGAGCCGAACCUGCCGGCCAGCAGGCAGCGCGCUCACUUCCGGAGAGGCAGCCACCCAGCCUGGGUCCCCUGGCCCGGCAGCCCGGAAUGACAUCAGCCCCCUGUCUUGGCGAGGGGCGCACAGCACAGGAAUGCAGGAGGGGCCUCUCUCGGGAGGUGGCCGCCCAGGGAGCUGGCGUCAGCCCCAGUUUUUUUUUGUUUUUUUUUUUUUCCCCCUAAGUCUCAACUCGCUCGCUGUCCCUCGGGGACUUCAUGUGCCAGACUGCCUACCCACCCCGGGCAGCACCGUGCAGAGACGCGGCUGCCGGGCGUGCGGGUGAAGAAAUACCAGCUCAGAGAGGUGGAUUCACAUGUCCAAGGUCACACAGCAAGACGGAAAGAUACUCUUGGAAAUGGCCCCUCCCCACGGUUGUGUGCACAUCUGACCCCCAAACCUCACCCACUGCAAAGCCUCGAAAAUAUUGACUUUUCAAAAUGCCAGGCCAAAUCCAAAGUUGAUUUGAUUCCGCACUGGCCCAACCACCUGGGAUGAUCUCUGCACCGCCCCCUUACCUCUGUCCUGAGGAAAUAUUUGCUCUCUAGACACCAGACUUGCCUUGCCAAAGUAAGGUUACCCUGAAGGCCCCUGUGACAGACAGUGUGUGCAGGCUACUGCCUUCUCUUCUUCCUCCUCAUUCCAAGACCCUGAGGUCCUGGCAUCUCCUUCAGUUAACAGUGGGAGUGAGCACCACCUCUGCCUCAGGCCCUGUGCUGUGGAGGGUCACAGGGAUGUAACAGCUGCUGACUGACAACACCUGAGCCUGAUACAUGCUCAGGGGACCCCAUUUGCUAAAUGGGGAGACUGAGGCCCAGACAGCUGAAGCUGCCUCCCAGAGGCCCCUAGGGAUCCCAGUACCCUUCCCAAAGUGCAUCAGGGCAUGUAAGGGGCAGCCAUGUUGGAUGCUCAGGUGGAAAAGCCCACAGGGAAGGGAUUAGGAAUCUAGCUAAAAGCCAGCACCAUGGCUGGCUGCCCUCAGUCAGACUCAGACGACAGGAACUAUGGUCAGCUUCCUGACUAGAGUCACCGGGAGACAAAAGCUCACUCAGCCAAGCCUCAGUCUACUGAUCAUAAUGAGUGUAAAGGUCCUGAGGCAAGCCAGUUCCACAGGGAACUGUGGAGAUGAAGACAGGUUGGCUCACAAUGGAGGGAGAGCCUCUGACUGAGGUCAGACCGUGUGCCCAGCAGGUGAGAUGUCACCCCAGCCUGCACGCCAGCAUUCAGACAAGGAACCAUGCCAGGAGAGGGCCAAUCCCCUUCUCCACCUGUGCCCAGCUCCUUCCCUGGCAUCCAGAGGUGGCUACAUCCACAGUCACAGUCAGGGUUUCUGGCCUCCACAAGGAAUUCAUAGCAACCUCCAGCUCAGGCCACUUCACAGACUUCCCAGGUGAUCAGGGACAGACCGAAGACAGGAAAGGACAGACAGGCCCUCCCCAUCUGGCCCCAGAGAUGGCACCCCAGGAACCUUCUGACAACCAGAAUGAGACACAGGUGUGACAGGCUGUCUGGACACAGAGAUGGGGGCCAUUCCAGCCUUCGUAGGGAAGGGGGGCCGUGAGAGGCACAAGACACAUCUAAAGAGAUCACAGAUCCUGCCGAAAGGCAUCAGGAAGGGUGCAACAUCCAUAAUAUUUCUUAUGAAAGCUAAACACCUCAGAUGAAAUAUUGCCCUGUGGGGACAGACAGACACAUGGAAGCUGGGGACCGGGUUGGGACAGGCAGGUGCCGUCUGCCUUGAAAACGCACGCCUUUAAUCCCAGCACUUGGGAGGCAGAGGC